UAAAGUAAAUCGAAUAAAGCAAACAAAGAGUGACAAGGUAAAAGAAAAAGUAAAAGUGAAAGUAGUAGUCAGUUAUUAGCUCGAAACACCUAGUGCCGAAGAAACACGCAACCCAAGCGUAGGUCCAACACCACGACCAGGUAAAGUCAGCCAGUAAGAAAAUAGAGGAAAAGGCGCAAGCCAACAAAAA
rnacentral:lncRNA from 1 species